rnacentral:rRNA from 1 species
UACGUAGGGUGCGAGCGUUGUCCGGAAUUAUUGGGCGUAAAGAGCUCGUAGGCGGUUUGUUGCGUCGGCCGUGAAAACCUGCAGCUUAACUGUGGGCCUGCGGCCGAUACGGGCAGACUUGAGUUCGGUAGGGGAGACUGGAAUUCCUGGUGUAGCGGUGAAAUGCGCAGAUAUCUGGAGGAACACCGGUGGCGAAGGCGGCAUCCUGGACCAACACUGACGCGGAGUGAGCGAAAGCCAGGGGAGCAAACGGG